GUCUAUGGCCAUAUCACCCUGAACGUGCUCGAUUUUGUCUGAUCUCAGAAGGUAAGCACGGUAGGGUCUGGUUAGUACUUGGAUGGGUGAACAUCUAUUGUGCUUAAAACCUUGGUUU
rnacentral:rRNA from 1 species